ensembl:lncRNA
CUGGAAUAAAGUUGGUUGGACGUUCGAUAUUCGCGGAUAUGCGGAAAUUAAGGGACCGUCUCUAAAGUUACAUACGACAUUGUUAAACACGUUUCUAACUUAAAUAACAUUUAUAGGGAAUGACUUACAGUCACAAGACCAACUGGAAAGUGUUCAUCUAGGUGUUAGCUCAAUAGCAUUUGAAGGGAAUGAAGUACAGUCACAAAACCAGCAAGAAGAGCCCUGGGCGAAGAGAUCACAAACUCAAAGACCAGCAAAGCAUCAUUCAAAGUAUUUUGAUCCACCAGAAGCAGUGCCCCAAACAAAAAGACACAAGACAAAGCAAACAUCUGAGGAUCAUUCAGAGGACACAUCAGCCCAGAAUCUCCAUGCAGCAUCCAGCCAGGUGUUUGUGGUAGGCCCAGCAGGACAUGAUGAAGAAGCAAAAUCCAUGCAUGCAGCCACUAGAUUUCAGGUAUUGAAUGGUGAAUGAUAUGCUGUGUCCUUGUGUCCUUAUCUCUCACCGGAUCUUUAGUAAAUUAAACAAAAAAAUUGAUUUUGGACCAAACUGUCAGUGCUCUCCAGUAUCAUCUUGAAAAUCUAAAAAUUUUGAAAUAUAUUUUGAAAAAAUUAUGUUCUAUCCCUCCUGUUGGUGUUCCAGAGACUUGGCAUAGCUCUUGCAUAUCUCUGGAUCUUUAACAAUUAUUUUCGUAAGAAUAAAAUGACAGGCUUCGAGUCUUUUAAAUUGUGUAAGUAUGCUAGUCUUCUCAUAAGGUGUUUUUUUUAAUGCUG